CACUGUCAUGGUGACGGAGGCCGACCUCUCCUCUAGCUGCCAAGGUGGGCCUCUGGAAUGCACCUUGAUUCGUUGCUUCAGGUAUGUUUGAUUGGAGUUAAAGCUCCGCAGGAAGGUAGAUUCCAAGAUGUAGCGCCCCUGAUUUAGAUUGUCCCAG